rnacentral:tRNA from 1 species
UGGUUCAGUGGUAGAAUUCUCACCUUCCAUGUGGGAGAUCCUGGUUUGAUUCCUGG